rnacentral:rRNA from 1 species
CAAUAGCGUAUAUUAAAGUUGUUGCGGUUAAAAAGCUCGUAGUUGGAGUUCUGCCAGGUGCCGCCUGUCCGCCCCAGUGGUGAGUACGUGGCGCGCAUUUGGCCCUUUCAAGGGGAGCGUAUCUGCACUUUAUUGUGUGGUGCGGGAUCCUUGACUUUUACUUUGAGGAAAUAGGAGUGUUCCAAGCAGGCUCUCGUCGUGCACAGCUCAGCAUGGAAUAAUAGCAUUGGACCUCGAUUCUAAGCUGUUGGUUGCCAGAAGCGAGGUAAUGAUGAAGAGGGAUAGUUGGGGGCAUUCGUAUUUAACUGUCAGAGGUGAAAUUCUUGGAUUUGUUAAAGACGGACUACUGCGUAAGCAUCUGCCAUGGAUGUUUUCAUUGA